GAACAGUUCUUUCCAACUUCCAAUUAUUGUAUUUCUUUAUUUCUCAUAGGCAACAUUGUGUCCCAGUGAGCUCAGAAUGUUCUGGAACCCAGCACCUAAAUUCAUCUGUGCCCCCUGUGUUAUGAAAGACACACUUUUCCCCAAAUACCAGAUAACACUGGCAGACUUGUGCAAAGAGAAUCUGUUGGAUGAACUGCACGAUGUGGUGAAGUCAGUUAGCCAUGUGAUGGACACAGAACAGGUUACUUCUGAGGAAAAUGUCUUGCCUAUUAAGUGUAAGUCUGUGGCAGAAUUCAGAACAGC
rnacentral:lncRNA from 1 species